GGGGAAUAUUGCACAAUGGGCGCAAGCCCGAUGCAGCAACGCCGCGUGAGGGAAGACGGCCUUCGGGUUGUAAACCUCUUUUAGUAGGGAAGAAGCGAAAGUGACGGUACCUGCAGAAAAAGCACCGGCUAACUACGUGCCAGCAGCCGCGGUAAUACGUAGGGUGCAAGCGUUAUCCGGAAUUAUUGGGCGUAAAGAGCUCGUAGGCGGUUCGUCGCGUCUGCUGUGAAAACCCGAGGCUCAACCUCGGGCCUGCAGUGGGUACGGGCGGACUAGAGUGCGGUAGGGGAGAUUGGAAUUCCUGGUGUAGCGGUGGAAUGCGCAGAUAUCAGGAGGAACACCGAUGGCGAAGGCAGAUCUCUGGGCCGUAACUGACGCUGAGGAGCGAAAGCAUGGGGAGCGAAC
rnacentral:rRNA from 1 species